AUUGAACGCUGGCGGCAGGCCUAACACAUGCAAGUCGAACGAGUGGCGGACGGGUGAGUAAUGUCUGGGAAACUGCCCGAUGGAGGGGGAUAACUACUGGAAACGGUAGCUAAUACCGCAUACCAUCGGAUGUGCCAAGAGGGGAUUAGCUAGUAGGUGGGUUAUCGGCUCACCUCGUCGACGAUCCCUAGCUGGUCUGAGAGGAGUACCAGCCACACUGGACUUGAGACACGGUCCAGACUCCUACGGGAGGCAGCAGGGGGUAAUAUGGCACAAUGGGCGCAAGCCUGAUGCAGCCAUGCCGCGUGUAUGAAGAAGGCCUUCGGGUUGUAAAGUACUUUCAGCGAGGAGGCGUUACUCGCAGAAGAAGCACCGGCUAACGCCGUGCCAGCAGCCGCGGUAAUAC
rnacentral:rRNA from 1 species